CGAUGCCAGGAGGCCGCCGCUGAAAACUCACUCAUUUCACUGUCAUGGCGUCUCCCGUUGAUAACCUUAUAUUUUCUCCACUGAUGAAUGAGACUUCUUAAAUAUUCCAGCUGACCACAGCGUGUCGGGAUGACUUGGAUGUUAAACUCGCAGACAUGUCAAUGGUAGUCAAUUGAUCCAUCACGUUGCGGAGGGCCACUGGGCUUAGAGAAGGCCAAAGCGGCUUGAUCCUCCUCAAAUCCAAAGCAAACAGGCACAACAUGGCCGCCCUGAUGCGCCGCAGCCUCGGGGCCUGAAAACAGGAGUUCCCCUGAGCAGCUAUCAAAAGCUUUGCUUCCCGCCAAGUGCAAAGGCCUCACGAUCCCCUGGAGUCUCAGAGGGCGAGGAAGACACGACCGGAGUCAACAACCUUCGUCUGUCCUUUUCAAGACCUUUACCCGCUCAGAGCAAAGCGUCUCAAUGAAUCCAGAACUUUCACUGUAAAUAUACAUAUUGAAGCCAUUACUCGAGGAGUUUGGAUGAGUCAAACGAUGAAGAAUGGCAUUACUCGAGCAGCAAAAAAGACAAGUCUUUCUUUUGAAGACGAUACUCCGUCUCCGGUUGUCGGUUGUGUUUUGCUUCCCUGAAAACAUGCACUUCAGAGAAGGAAGCGAGUGACUGGCCGCGUUCAAAAGGGAGAAUGGUGCCAAACGCUGGGCAAGAUCAACUACUCAGGACUGUUUCCUUUGCCAAGGACGGCCAUGCACGGAAACAAGGGCCUCUGUCCACACCUUCUGGAUGAAGAUGAUUUGGACAUCCGACGCUUCAACACUGUGAAUGACUGAGACUUUCACUAUUUGUUUUGUUCUUACUAGUUGACCUACUAAGCGAGAAUCCUUCAUCCUUCAAAACCUUUGCUAAAAAUAAAACGUUCACAGUGGUGACAUGAGUUGGGAUGAGAGCCCAGGAAGUCCAGGCUCGUUGAGUAAAAGCAUUGCUGCAACUAUUAUGCCAG
ensembl:lncRNA